rnacentral:sRNA from 1 species
ACAGUGCUACGACUACAGCAGUAUGGCUCCGGUGGCGUGGGUUGCGUUGUUUGGGACGCUGCCAUUGUCCUUUCUAAAUACCUGGAAACGCCCGAGUUUUCUGGCGACGGGGCCCACGCGCUGAGCCGGCGGUCGGUGCUGGAGCUGGGUUCGGGCACCGGGGCCGUGGGGCUCAUGGCUGCUACCCUCGGGUAAGAGCUGGCGGGCGGGCGGGAUGUGGGGGCGCCUUCUUGCUGGGGAAAUCUGGAUUACAGGCUUUCCCUCCUGUGCCUACACCUCAGUCGACGUUAUUUUAUAGGGCUGAUGUUGUAGUCACCGAUCUUGAGGAAUUGCAAGACUUGCUGAAGAUGAAUAUUAGUAUGAACAAGCAUCUUGUCACUGGUUCUGUUCAAGCCAAGGUACUGAAAUGGGGGGAAGAAAUAGAAGGCUUUCCUUCUCCACCCGACUACAUACUGAUGGCCGACUGCAUAUACUAUGAAGAGUCUUUGGAGCCAUUGCUGAAAACUCUAAAAGAUAUCAGUGGAUUUGAAACUUGUAUUAUAUGUUGUUAUGAACAACGAACAAUGGGGAAAAAUCCAGAAAUUGAGAAAAAAUAUUUUGAGUGAUAACCCAAACCCUUUUUAUGGGCACAAAUCUAUCACAUUGUGAGUGACUCCUUUUGAGGGUACAUCUAUAUAGGCCUGCAGUUUUGUCUGCUGAAAGGACUGCUUUGGUUUAAUGAGAAAGCAGGUAUAUGACUGCCUCAGAAAUUUCCAUCGUGAAGCCUUUAAUCAUCUUACCCAAGCCUCUAACAACCUGGGUACACUAAAGAUGUGAAUAGAGCAUGUCAAUACAGCAUGGGAAGAUUGUGUUCACAGAUUUUUUUUCCGGCACGUCCUUAGAGAUCCGAUAUAUAGAUGGACGACCACCAGGGGCUGUCUGCAAUAUGAAAAAUGCCUGCUUGCCUGCCUGCCUGCCAGUGGCCCUGAAUCCAGCUUAGGUUACUUAGUUCAGCAUAAAGUUCUACUUAAAUGUUGGGAAUCAGUUAUUCAAAUAAAAAUUGGUAUUGAGGCGAGGCUAAAAUCUGCCAAAAACAGUGAACCAACAUGAUUGACUUGACCUUUUACAGGAAACUAGAGAUAAAUUUCUGAAGAGAACUAUCUGCUAUUAUAUAAUAAUGUUUUAAAUUCAAACUAGUAAAUUUUAGUUUGUCUUCAAAGUUUAAAAGGUUUUCAUUUUAUACAUAAUUAUACAAUAUUUAUCAUUUGUAUUUUCCACUUCAUUUCUUUUAAAAUAUCUUUAAUACUUAAAUGUUCUUUUAAUUUUAAAAAGAACUGAGAUAUUGUCUUUUAUACUUACAUUGGCCAAAGUUUUCUUUUCCUCCACCGUACAUAUCUAUGUGAUUUAAUCAGUAAAUUGUACUGUAAUGAGUUGCUAAGAAGACAAAUUAGAAGAUUGGAGGAACAAAAGAUAUCUUUAUAGAUUUUUCAUUUGAGAAUGGAGUGAGAAUAGAAAAACCAGUUUCAGGCUUACGCACUUACGUGGCUCAUGCACUUUAUGUAUAUGUUCCAGGAAAAUCUGGCUUAAAAAUACUGGUAUUAACUUGUUUACAUGAAGCAGUGAAAGGUUUUUGAAUAACUACAAAUGUAGUUCUGUAUGUAUAUACCAAAUGAAUUUUUGUUCUGUGUCUCUCUGUUUUAUGUUAUGAAGCCAUUCGCUCAUAUACAAUAAUCUGUCAAGGACUUUAAUCAUACUUGUUCCAAAGAGUAGUAACCGGAUGGAAUUCUGGUAUUUACAGGCAUUGGUGCUAGAUGGUACAUUUUAUGUGUUAAAAUAAACAUUGUUUUUGAGACCUUG